GACGAACGCUGGCGGCGUGCUUAACACAUGCAAGUCGAACGGAAAGGCCCUGCUUUUGUGGGGUGCUCGAGUGGCGAACGGGUGAGUAACACGUGAGUAACCUGCCCUUGACUUGGGGAUAACUUCAGGAAACUGGGGCUAAUACCGGAUAGGAGCUCCUGCUGCAUGGUGGGGGUGGGAAAGUUUCGGCGGUUGGGGAUGGACUCGCGGCUUAUCAGCUUGUUGGUGGGGUAGUGGCUUACCAAGGCUUUGACGGGUAGCCGGCCUGAGAGGGUGACCGGCCACAUUGGGACUGAGAUACGGCCCAGACUCCUACGGGAGGCAGCAGUGGGGAAUAUUGCACAAUGGGCGGAAGCCUGAUGCAGCAACGCCGCGUGCGGGAUGACGGCCUUCGGGUUGUAAACCGCUUUCGCCUGUGACGAAGCGUGAGUGACGGUAAUGGGUAAAGAAGCACCGGCUAACUACGUG
rnacentral:rRNA from 1 species